rnacentral:rRNA from 1 species
GGGGAAUAUUGGACAAUGGGCGCAAGCCUGAUCCAGCCAUGCCGCGUGGGUGAAGAAGGCCUUCGGGUUGUAAAGCCCUUUUGUUGGGAAAGAAAAGCAGCCGGCCAAUACCCGGUUGUUCUGACGGUACCCAAAGAAUAAGCACCGGCUAACUUCGUGCCAGCAGCCGCGGUAAUACGAAGGGUGCAAGCGUUACUCGGAAUUACUGGGCGUAAAGCGUGCGUAGGUGGUGGUUUAAGUCCGUUGUGAAAGCCCUGGGCUCAACCUGGGAACUGCAGUGGAUACUGGAUCACUAGAGUGUGGCAGAGGGUAGUGGAACUCCGAGUGUAGAGGUGAAAUUCGUAGAUAUUCGGAAGAACACCAGUGGCGAAGGCGGCUCACUGGCUCGGUACUGACGCUGAGGUGCGAAAGCGUGGGGAGCAAACA